rnacentral:rRNA from 1 species
CAGCGCCACGAGUGGUAACCACGUUUAUUGGGCCUAAAGCGUCCGUAGCCGGUUUGAUAAAUCUUUUGUGAAAUUGUACAGCUUAACUGUACAGCGUGCAAGAGACACUGUCAAACUUGAGACCGGGAGGAGUCAGAAGUAUUCCAGAGGGAGCGGUAAAAUGUUAUACACUCUGGAGGACUACCUGUGGCGAAGGCGUCUGACCAGAACGGAUCUGACGGUGAGGGACGAAAGCCAGGGGAGCGAACCGGAUUAGAUACCCGAGUAGUCC